GAUGAAGAACGUAGCGAAAUGCGAUAAGUAAUGUGAAUUGCAGAAUUCAGUGAAUCAUCGAAUCUUUGAACGCACAUUGCGCCCGCCAGUAUUCUGGCGGGCAUGCCUGUUCGAGCGUCAUUUCAACCAUCAAGCCCCCGGCUUGUGUUGGGGACCUGCGGCUGCCCGCAGGCCCUGAAAACCAGUGGCGGGCUCGCUGUCACUCCGAGCGUAGUAGCAUAUAUCUCGCUCAGGGCGUGCUGCGGGUUCCGGCCGUUAAAAGCCUUUUUUUACCCAAGGUUGACCUCGGAUCAGGUAGGAAGACCCGCUGAACUUAAGAAUAUCAAUAAGCGGAGGA
rnacentral:misc_RNA from 1 species